rnacentral:rRNA from 1 species
ACGGGAGGCAGCAGUGGGGGAUAUUGCACAAUGGGCGCAAGCCUGAUGCAGCAACGCCGCGUGCGGGAAGACGGCCUUCGGGUUGUAAACCGCUGUCCUUGGUGAAGAAACAAAUGACGGUAACCAUGGAGGAAGCCACGGCUAACUACGUGCCAGCAGCCGCGGUAAUACGUAGGUGGCAAGCGUUGUCCGGAAUUACUGGGUGUAAAGGGAGCGCAGGCGGGACUGCAAGUUGGAUGUGAAAUACCGGAGCUCAACUCCGGGGCUGCAUCCAAAACUGUAGUUCUUGAGUGGAGUAGAGGUAAGCGGAAUUCCGAGUGUAGCGGUGAAAUGCGUAGAUAUUCGGAGGAACACCAGUGGCGAAGGCGGCUUACUGGGCUCUAACUGACGCUGAGGCUCGAAAGCGUGGGGAGCAAACAGGAUUAGAUACCCUGGUA